CAGCCGCCGCGGUAAUACGGAGGGUGCAAGCGUUAAUCGGAAUUACUGGGCGUAAAGCGUGCGUAGGCGGUUCGUUAAGUCUGUUGUGAAAUCCCCGGGCUCAACCUGGGAAUGGCAAUGGAUACUGGCAAGCUAGAGCGUGUCAGAGGAUGGUGGAAUUCCCGGUGUAGCGGUGAAAUGCGCAGAGAUCGGGAGGAACAUCAGUGGCGAAGGCGGCCAUCUGGGACAACACUGACGCUGAGGCACGAAAGCGUGGGGAGCAAACAGGAUUAGAUACCCCCGUAGUCCCUGUCUCUUAUAC
rnacentral:rRNA from 1 species